UUGUAAGGAGAUUAGGUUUAGGUUAUGUUUUAUCAACUAACUGAACAGUCAGGUUAAUAUGUAACAAAGCACAGUAGAUACAAAAUUAGUCAUAACUUGGUAGGUUUUCUCUUAUAAAUAAGUCCUUCUUUAACAGAAGACUAAUCAAACACAAAGACAUAAUAUGGAUGAAUUCGUUUAAAACAGAAAGUUGAAACGGUUAAUAGUAUCUAUGACUAUGAUUAGGCUAUUCAUCACUGUACCAGAGAAUAACAGGCUGAUUGAGCUAUGGUUGAAACUUGCUGCUGGGUCUGUCUUGCUAGUUUAUGGCUGAUGAUCACAAUGUCAAGUAUCAGGUGACAGUCAACUUCAAAUCAGGUGGAAAUAUUCAAGAAGUCCAAUCGCCGUAAUGAUGAUGAGUUUGAUCAUGAGGUUCUCUACCUGGGGAUGAACAACAUGCCCUUGAGAGAGAGAGGCCAGAAACCAUUGCAGAGCGGAUGAUCAAGCUGAUGAAGAAAAUCCACCACAAGCCCAAUAGUUCUCUAAUUAACAUGUGCAUCAUUCUGCCAAGGAGUGAGAACAGUUUCAAGAUUGCCGGAAGUGAUGAAGAAAGAAUAGACUUCUGGAAUGGCAAAGCAACCACGACGAAAGUCAUGUAUCGACAAUAAUUGUGUAAAAGGCACCAAAAUGUGUCACAGAGGCCGCAAAGACAGUUCAUCGUGUGUGUUGUUUCUCAUUCUGCAAAGAGAGUGAACAUACAAUCCCAUAGUUUGACACUGUACACAUCGUUUUACUAUUAACCACCUAAUGACUUACUAAACACUAACUAAUUAAUAAUACGCACAAAAAAAAACUAACAAAACCUACUCUAGAACAUGGUACGCCAUAAUGGAGUAGGUCAAUUUCCACACAGAAAAAUCUAAACAAGUAGAGGACACAUAAGAUUUUUUGUAACUAACUAUUGUAUGUAAUAUUGUAAUUUAUCUAAUAUUUUGUGUUAUUGAUGUUGUAGUUUUAGUUUUUUUUGGGAAAUAAACAUUUUAUUCAUUUU